rnacentral:rRNA from 1 species
CUAAUACAUGCAAGUCGAACGCUUUGUGGUUCAACUGAUUUGAAGAGCUUGCUCAGAUAUGACGAUGGACAUUGCAAAGAGUGGCGAACGGGUGAGUAACACGUGGGAAACCUACCUCUUAGCAGGGGAUAACAUUUGGAAACAGAUGCUAAUACCGUAUAACAAUGACAACCGCAUGGUUGUUAUUUAAAAGAUGGUUCUGCUAUCACUAAGAGAUGGUCCCGCGGUGCAUUAGCUAGUUGGUAAGGUAAUGGCUUACCAAGGCGAUGAUGCAUAGCCGAGUUGAGAGACUGAUCGGCCACAAUGGGACUGAGACACGGCCCAUACUCCUACGGGAGGCAGCAGUAGGGAAUCUUCCACAAUGGGCGAAAGCCUGAUGGAGCAACGCCGCGUGUGUGAUGAAGGGUUUCGGCUCGUAAAACACUGUUGUAAGAGAAGAAUGACAUUGAGAGUAACUGUUCAAUGUGUGACGGUAUCUUACCAGAAAGGAACGGCUAAAUACGUGCCAGCAGCCGCGGUAAUACGUAUGUUCCAAGCGUUAUCCGGAUUUAUUGGGCGUAAAGCGAGCGCAGACGGUUAUUUAAGUCUGAAGUGAAAGCCCUCAGCUCAACUGAGGAAUUGCUUUGGAAACUGGAUGACUUGAGUGCAGUAGAGGAAAGUGGAACUCCAUGUGUAGCGGUGAAAUGCGUAGAUAUAUGGAAGAACACCAGUGGCGAAGGCGGCUUUCUGGACUGUAACUGACGUUGAGGCUCGAAAGUGUGGGUAGCAAACAGGAUUAGAUACCCUGGUAGUCCACACCGUAAACGAUGAGUGCUAGGUGUUUGAGGGUUUCCGCCCUUAAGUGCCGCAGCUAACGCAUUAAGCACU